GCUGCGGUGGUCUAGUGGUUAGAGCGUCCGCCUCGAUUGCGGGAGGUAGUGAGUUAGAACCCCGGUCGCGUCA